ACUGAAUCUGCAUGAUGGUAUGAGAGCUCCUGACUACCUCAAUGAGUCCCACACAGUCACCAAUAGACAAACAACCAUAAGGCAACAUCCUGAAAGAUGAAGGUUUUUUUUUAAAGUUAAGUUUUAAGUCAGCAAGCAACAGACCUACACAGAGAGGAAGAACAGUAAUAGCUUAAAGACAAGAUCACUUAGAGGUGCCAAAAAUGAAGCUAUAGCUGUAUCAUCCCAAUGACACAUCUUACCGAGAGCUGCUUAUAGAUCCAUCCUUUUCAGAAAAGGCUCAGAUACAUGGAAUUGCUUAUCUGACCACAAACAGCAGCUCAACGGAAACAAACAGAAGGACUUAACACUGUCAAAAACACAUCUUAAUAGCAUUUAGCUUCCUUCUGAAACAGGCAAGUAUUCCAAACACAAUCUAUUUUAUUUGUAGUUACCUACUUCUUCCCCCCUGCAAAACAGUGCUGAGUAGCUUUGUCUUCUUCUACACAGAGCAAAAAACCAAAAACAUUACUGGUAGCAUCCAUAGAAUUAUAGUACAGCAAAAAUACAAAAUUAUUCUUCCCUGUGAAUAUUAAAUCUCAGUGGAAAUUAGUGAAAAGAAAUUUCAGUUUUAUUAGACAUGGGAACAUGGGUUGGCUAUGUUUCAAUGCUGUUUUCUUUGAAGUUAUCUUACAAGCAGACUUUUUUGCAAAAUAUAAUAUUCUUGGAUUCUGGUUGUAGUGACUUUCAGACAACCAUGAAUAAAAUUAAUGGUGUGGUCAUACUGAAAAGAAAAAAAGAA